CCUACGGGUGGCAGCAGUGAGGAAUAUUGGUCAAUGGACGAGAGUCUGAACCAGCCAAGUAGCGUGAAGGAUGACUGCCCUAUGGGUUGUAAACUUCUUUUAUAUGGGAAUAAAAUGUUCCACGUGUGGGAUUUUGUAUGUACCAUAUGAAUAAGGAUCGGCUAACUCCGUGCCAGCAGCCGCGGUAAUACGGAGGAUCCGAGCGUUAGCCGGAUUUAUUGGGUUUAAAGGGAGCGUAGGUGGAUUGUUAAGUCAGUUGUGAAAGUUUGCGGCUCAACCGUAAAAUUGCAGUUGAAACUGGCAGUCUUGAGUACAGUAGAGGUGGGCGGAAUUCGUGGUGUAGCGGUGAAAUGCUUAGAUAUCACGAAGAACUCCGAUUGCGAAGGCAGUUCACUGGACUGCAACUGACACUGAGGCUCGAAAGUGUGGGUAUCAAACAGGAUUAGAUACACUUGUAGUC
rnacentral:rRNA from 1 species